rnacentral:lncRNA from 1 species
GAUCUAACCUAUAUCUAAUUGGAAUUCUAGAAAGAUAAAAUAGAAAUAAUGAGAGCCAAUAUUCAAAGACAUAAAGAGAUUAUCAUUUUCUAGAACUUAUGAAUGACAUGAAUUCACAGAUGAAGAAAAAAGAUAUAACAGGCAAGAUAAAUAGAAAGCAACAGUUGGACAUAGUAUGGGGAAAUGCAGGACACCAAGACAAAAGCAGCCAAAAAGAAAGGGCAGAUUAUCUACAAAUAAAUUGUAAUUAGGCUGGUAGGUGAUUUAUCAAUUGUAACAGUGGAAACCACAAAACUAUUGAAUAACUUUAGUGGAAGAAAAUUUUGUCAACUUAGAAAAACUGUCUUAAGACAAUUUAGACUUAAACAAUAGUUUACUACAAAAAAGUCUUUAUUAAAGAAACUUCUACAGUAUGUACUUCAAGAAAAAUAAAAAAUAAGAGAUUUGGACCUAACACCUGGUUCUGUCACUGAUUCCUUGUGACAUGGACUCCAUUUCUUCACCUUAGAACAAAUGCUGCUGGAGAGAUUAUUCCUCUGCUUAAUGGAGGGAUUAUUCCUCUGCUUAAAUUUACCAUUUAAAAAUACCACCAAAACCACAAACUCUUAGGAUGCAUGAAUACAGUUUAACUGCUUUGAAUAGCAUUUUUAAUAGCAAAAAUGUGUUUAUACUAUAAUAGCUUACAACCAUCUUUUCAAAAAUUCCCAGUUUCAUGGAACUUCCAUUUUAGUGGGGACAACAGACAAAAAUGCAAAGGCCCUUCUGAAGCAGGAGUGUGCUUAGUUGAAAAAACAAGUCAGUGUGGCAGGAACAGACUGAGAAUGGGAGAUAAGUAGGAGAAAGGGCAGUAAUGCUGGUCAUUUUCCAUUUGCUGCUCUAAAUCUGACCUGAAUGAACCACAUCAACAAGCUUCUGUACUCCCUCUGGCUGGGUCCGCCAGCCUGUGGUAGGCUAAAUAAUGGCCCCAAAGGUAUCCAAGUCCUAUCCCCUGGAACCUGUGAAUGGUACCUUAUGUGGCAAAGUGACUUUGCAGAUGUGAUGAAAUUAAGGACCUUGAGACAGAUUAUUCUGGAUUACUCAGGGGGCCCUACAUGUAAUCACAAAUCUCCUUAGGCGAGGGAGGCAGAUUUGGCAGCAAGAACAGAAAGCAGUAUAACAAUGAAACAAGAUGCUAUGUUGCUGGCUCUGAAGAUGAAAGAAGGAGCCAAGGAAUUUGGUUCUAGAAGCAGGAAAAGGCAAGGAAAUAGAUGUUCCCCUAGUGCCUCCAGAGGGAAUACAAGUCUGCUGCUACCUUGAUUUUGGUCCACAAAACCCAUUUCAGACUUCUGGCC